AACUUGCAGCAAUGGAUCUCUUGGCUCUCGCAACGAUUAAGAACGCAGCGAAAUGCGAUACGUAAUGUGAAUUGCUUUCCGUGAAUCAUCGAAUCUUUGAACGCACAUUGCACUCCUUUGGAGUAUGCCUGUUUGAGAAUCUAUAGUAUUUAUUUCUGGGUUACUUUUAUUAGUACUCUGAAGAUUUGAGAUGUCUCCCCGCAAGGGCGAGUAUCUUUAAAAUUAUAGCCUCUUUUGUGGUAAAUUAACUCUGCAGAACAGUAUUUGAAUGGAACCUUGGUUUCUCAUAAUGCCCAAUACGCAGACUUACCUAUUGAAAAGGGGGUCCAUAACCUAAAGUCUGGCGUUAAAACCAGACUUGAACCAUGGUCUCAAAUCAGGUAGGAAGACCCGCUGAACUUAAGCAUAUCAAUAAGCGGAGGCU
rnacentral:misc_RNA from 1 species